ACAGUCAUAAGCAAGUGGCAUGAGUGUAUUUAGAGGCUGCUGCAGGAUCAAGCUCUCUCCAACAAGUAACAAGCGAAGCAAUCGUGAUAUACAGAAACAGUGGUGAGACCAUUUGUUGGUCGGAGCAAGCAAUGGGUGGUAAGUGUACUUCUAUAUGAAUGCACAGUGCUUGCCCUACUCUUUCAGCUAUAGCAUCCGGGUUUGGAUCAUUUUAUUCAUGGUAUAAUUACAAAGUAAUGUUCUUUUGUCAGAUUUAAUGUUAUAUUACCAGAUGGUGAAUCUUGUACCAUUUGUUGGUAAAAAUAUGAAACCGAUCUUCCCUGUAUAUGAUGAACUGUUCCAUGGAUGAAAAUAAUGUUGAAUUGACAUGUUUGUGAAAAAGUCUUGACCGCAUGUGCUUUUCAUUGCAGCCAUCGACUGGGCGGGUUGAUGAAGAGUUUGCAGAAAUAGUCAUAGAGAAGUGGCGUGAGGCUGGGGCUUCCCUAUUUGGAGGCUGCUGCAGGACAACUCCAAAUACCAUAAGGGCAAUAUCAAAGGCUCUUUCUAACAAGUCUUCUGCAGUUAACGAUGCUUAGUUGAGUUCUAAAAAUGAGAUGUAAAUACUUGUAACCGAUGCUAAGACUAAGGGCAUGUGUCUUUUUGAUUUCCUUGUUUUGUAACUCUAAGGAAGUAGCAAAUUACUAUCACCAUGGUGCUGCUGCUGUAUGGUGACUGGUGAGGUUGUUUCACAUCGAAUAACAGUGUUUUUGUUACCUUGUGAAGUUAAAUUUCGUUAGCAUUCCGUAGUGUGUCCUUGAGAUUGCCAUACGAUUUUAAAUGCAAUCUCCUCCAUAGAACAUACAUGGAACCCAAACAAAGUAUACGCAGUUUCUAGAUAAUUUCCUCGUCUUCUAAGUCAUCACCCUCUCAAAAAAGAAGAAGAAAAAGAAACAACCCUCUCAAAAAAGAAGAAGAAAAAGAAACAAUUCAAGUCUUCCAAGUCAUCACCUCUGAAAAAAGAAAAAGAAAAAGAAACAGUCUUCCUAGAAAAUUUUCGUCCAAGUCUAAAAAGAAAAAG